rnacentral:misc_RNA from 1 species
AAACGAGUUAGAACGAACUUCAUUGAAAACAUAUGGCGUGCAUAAAGAGGAAUACUGGAUUUUACGAUUCACCAAUUCAAGAAGAUUCAUUUCAAUCGUUCCCCACCAUUUAAUGAGGUAAACAAGUUGCAGAUGUUGACAAGCAAUGCCUUGAUAUUUAUACAGAAAAUAAUGUGUCACAAAUUUGUUUCUGCGGAUACCAUACCAAUGCAAACCUCGUAAAUACACACAAACGAGUUAGAACGAACUUCAUCAAGAACUAUUGAAUAAGAACAUAUUUACAUAUAUUUUUUUUCUGUCCUAUAGAGAAAGUACCUUUAUACAAUCUAAUCUGAAUAUUGAGAAUGACAACUCCAUGCCGUCUAUGCAUAUAUAAUAUAGCCAUUUUUUUUUUAUGCCAAGAGGCAAGUGUGCUAUCUUCUGCUUUUAAGAGCAACCGACCAUUAAUUGGUACUUCUCUUAUUACAUAUGGCUUGUUCAAUCCGAGGAAAAAAGAUCUGGUCUGUUGUUAGCAUUUAGGGUAGGCUGUCAAGAAACAUGAGCUUUACACUUUUGUUGUUAGGCUGGAAGGUACACGUUUUAGUUGUAUAAAAUGCGUUCUCAGGCUACAUUCCUUCACCUGGCCAUAGAGAGAUUUUUCUUUUAAUCAUAAAAAACAUGGCCGCUCUAAGCAUAAGAUAACCACUUAUAUGAGUUAUAAUUCUUUCACAAUUCUUGGAAAAGUCAAACCAAACACAAGAUUACCUGCAUGGCUAAGAUGAUUGACAAGAGAUCCUUGCAUUGAUCAAGCAAAGCAUGCUCCUUUGCAGCUACAUUAGCAAGUUCGGCCACCAGAGUGUUUACUUCCCCAACCUAUCAAUAGUAGAUGCUUUUAGACAUAAACUAAUUAAACAUCAAAUACUUUCUGUUAAUGAUGUAGGGCUCAAUGCAUGAAAAUGUAUAUUAAUUGAUUUCCACAAAAUCACAAGAGGAAACAAAAAUGAGAAAUAAGACAACAUCAGAGGGGCAAUUUGAAAUCCUUUCCAGAAAUGAAAACAUCCUAGUGAGAACAAUAAUAUUCUCCUGCCCUCUUACUGCCUUUAGCCAAACCUUAUUUAAAUUAAUCACAGGACUCUGGCACCCAACUCGCACGACAUUCAUUAGCAUUAGGACCAACAAGAAAGCACAAACCAUUAUUGGACCAGUCAAAAACAUUAUGAGCUUGUUCAACAUUACUAAUGCUGUAUGAAUUUAUUCAUUUUCUCUUAUUUGGAACAGGUGCCAGUGAUUAUUAUUAUGAUUGGAAAAUGAGAAAUUAUCAGUCCAAGUUUAUGCCUAGAGUGGGCGGAAAAUCACCUUUGAUAACAAUAAGCAUAUUGAGGAUGCCAUUGCCUGCAUCACAUCAACUGCUGAACAGAUAGCAUCCUUCACUUUUUGGAUAUCUGCCCUUACCCCACCAACAACAGGUAGGCGAAGUGUGCUAGCCCGCAAAGCUUCAAUAGCCCCAGAUAAAGAACGGGAAAAAUCCUGGUCCAUAAGUGCCAAUUCUUCCAAAUAUAUCAUCUGCCCCUUGAGGAUGGAAAUUAGCUUCAAAUUUUGCCUCAAACAUUGUAACUCCAUUCUUUUUGCUUUGACACAUUCACGCAGUUUUGAGGUUGCCAUGCGUGCAUUAUACAGUCUUCUCUCUGCAUUCAACCUCUGUGCUGACAACGCAGUAUCAGCUCUGGCAUUUACGAAACGCCAUUGCAACAACCGAUUAUAUAAAAUCCUCAACAAAUGCACCUCGACAAUCCGAUGCUCCCCACUCUUGCCUCUCCGAAUGUCAGCAGCAAAGCUCAAAAUUGAAGGAGUAUUAUUCAAAUUGCUUAAAUUGCUAUUCACCACGGCUCCCGCAGCAUUUCUCAUCCUAGAUGGGCUCACUCCCCUCAUUGGUGAAAGUGCCCCAAGCUUACCAGGUGAAGCAGGCCGUAAUGCUCCGCCACGAAUAGGAGACAGCUGUCCCCUAGUAUUCACAACUCCUUUGGGUGAUGACACUGGGCUAUCAAUAAGCUUCUUGGGUGCGAUAGAUUUAGUUGGUGCAGGUCCUUUCAAUCCGACGGUCUUGGAGACUGGGGAGCCAGGUUCUGGCUCGCGCCGGAGUCUGUUGUUAGUCUCUUGCCAGAACCUCGCAGGUGCCAUUAUUCCACGUUGUCCUUGUCCACCACCACCAACAUUACUAACACUUUCAGAAGUAACACCAGAGGACACACUCUCAGUAUCAGAAACUACAAGUGGAUCACAGUGUGUAUCGUAUCCAUUGGUAUCAAUGGGCUUCUCUGAAUCAAUAUUGCUGGAAUCAUAGCUCAAUCUGCUCUCAACUGAGGACCUAUUAUCCACCAAGGAGCUCUGCAAUGCCCUGACAACAUUCAUAUUCACUCCAGAUCCAGUUAAUCUCUCCCUAUCGUCAGUGCAAUCCACACUCCUACUCAGAGAAUUCGGUUGCCGCAAUCUCCCUGGCCACCGCUGGUGCUCCACCGGCCCUGAAUUCUCCACCUGAUCCGCUCCUCUCGUGGGCGUCGGCGUAGCUUUUCUUCUCUCUGGCGUACCUUUCCUUGCUCUAAUUGGCGACGGAGCAGGUUUUGCUUUACUCACUUGAAGGGAGAAUGACUCCCCCUGAAACGAGACUGACAAACUUCUCGUAGAAGUAAUCAGCAUCUUCUGCGCAUUUGACACUUCCCCACCAACACCAUUCCCAAUCCUCAAAUCUAUAGGCCUCCUCCGCUCGACGGAUUGCGACCGUUUGAUUGUAGAAGGUGCGGAAGGCAUUGGGUUCAUCAUACCCGUUGGCCGCGAAAUCGACGGCGAUGAGGAGCGCUUCGCUGUGGAAGAAGAGGAAGACGAAGAAGACAUGUAUCGAGAAGUAACUUCACGGGAUUUUGGGCGGCGAGGUGUGAGUGCAUUGUCGGGGUCCGAUGGUAACAGAAAAGGCCUAGUUGCGUUACGGUUUUGCUUGGCUACCGCCGCUGCCGGUGUCGUAUUGGGGUUUAUUGGAGUGGAAACCGCAGCCACCAUUAU